GGGUUUACCCAUUGGUCAGGCUUAAUUGUCUGUACUGGUGAGAUAAAUCUCUACCUUCUGAGGAACUUUCAUGCCAUUUAUUUGGUGUGAUGGGAAAUCAGGACUGUUACUUUGAAAAAAUUAGAGUGUUUAAAGCAGGCUAACGUCUGAAUACAUUAGCAUGGAAUAAUGAAAUAGGACGGACUGAUUCUAUUUCGUUGGUUUCUAGGAUUGACGUA
rnacentral:rRNA from 1 species